UACCAGCACCCCGAGUGGUCGGGACGAUUAUUGGGCCUAAAGCAUCCGUAGCCGGUCCUGCAAGUCUUCCGUUAAAUCCAGCUGCUCAACAGAUGGGCUGCGGGAGAUACUACAGGGCUAGGAGGCGGGAGAGGCAAGCGGUACUUUAUGGGUAGGGGUAAAAUCCGCUGAUCCAUAGAAGACCACCAGUGGCGAAGGCGGCUUGCCGAGAACGCGCUCGACGGUGAGGAUGAAGACUGGGGGGAGCAAACCGGG
rnacentral:rRNA from 1 species